rnacentral:lncRNA from 1 species
ACCUUGGCCGAUGCAAUUCAAAUCGCACUCCAUAUAGAGCAACAUAAUGGUUUUCACUCGAAUUCUAGUAAGUCAUACUCUUCCCCAUCUUUUUCUCAAUCUUAUCCAAAUCGUCGCAACAACUACAACCCUUCACCAUCAUCUAUUGCACACCGCAAUAAUCAAAAUUCUUCAAACACUAACUAUUCAUCCAACACUACUACAAAAAAUCAAUCCACACUUGCUUCCAACGAUGAUCAACCUCCACCUACCAAAGCUUCACAAACCACCCAACCAAGCAAAACCAAUCCAUAUGCUUACCCAUAUGCAGUGAUGAUCGGAAAAUGUAUGAGUCUGAAGUGCAGAUGACUAAGAAACCAAACCUGUUGAGAGAAGGGACAAUUAAUAGAUAGUAUACAUAAUUAUGUAUACAAACUGCACAGGGCAAUUAAUCACCAAAUAAAAUAAAAUACAGGGUGUUAUGUCUUUGCCCCAUACGAAAAAGAUUUUACAUGCUCUUCCCUUUAUCAUCAGCUUUAGCUGCACUUUUUCAUAUUAAUUUUAGGCUUUCUGAGUCGCAAAGUAAGACUGUUCAAGUGCCUUGGCUAAUCUGCCUUAUUUUUUAAAGUAUGUAGAUGUUGGUCAUGUUUCUCUUUAUUAAUAAAUUUUUUUUUCCCUUUUUGGAAUAUAUUUUUUAUAGUUGUAUAUUAACGUUGCAGUCCUUGGCGAAGAGUCGAGUUGUUGGUGCUCUACGGACCGCAUUUCUGGAUUGCGACGUCUGAUCCAGUUUCUUAUGAUGAUUCUUUUCAGUUUGGUGGUUACUUAACAAGCUUUGAGAGAGUAGGUCAUGUCCAUCUUGAGUUUGUUAGGUAUUGGGCUUUCGUGGCUAUUCGUGCCAAGAAGCACGAUCAGCUGCAUGCGGAGUUGUGGUCUUUCCUCCUGCUUUUACGGGGUGCUGCACGCAAGGGUAGACGUCACCUUAUUUUUCGUUCUGAUAGCUGGGAGGGGCUGAAGAUGCUGAACCUAUUAUGGCGUACUCAUUCGUUGGAUUCUCUUUCCGAGAACCAGCGGACUAAGUUUCGUAACGUGCUUUCUCGGAUUAACAAGUUGAUGUAUGACGUUGUGGAAUUCAUCUGUGUGUUUAUUCCUGGCAUUGACAAUCAUCUGGCGAAUAGUAUUUCACGAUUGCCUAGCCUCGUUCGAGCUGUUAAACGACAUAUUAAACUUCAGAAAGCAAAGAAGACACAUAUUUUAUUUGAGGCACAUUCAAACGGUAUCUUGAAAAGUCAGCUUUAUCAGAAAUUUGUUCAACAAGAAUGAUAUUCGAG